rnacentral:rRNA from 1 species
GAUGAACGCUGGCGGCGUGCUUAACACAUGCAAGUCGAACGGAAAGGCGCUGCUUUUGUGGGGUGCUCGAGUGGCGAACGGGUGAGUAACACGUGAGUAACCUGCCCUUGACUUUGGGAUAACUUCACGAAACUGGGGCUAUUAUCGGAUAGGAUCUUCUGCUGCAUGGUGGGCGUUGGAAAGUUUCGGCGGUUGUGGAUGGACUCGCGGCUUAUCAGCUUGUUGGUGGGGUAGUGGCUUACCAAGGCUUUGACGGCUAGCCGGCCUGGGAGGGUGACCGGGGACAUUAGGACUAAGAGACGGAGCAGAAUGCAACGGGAGGCAGCAGUGGGGAGCAUUGCACAAUGAGCGGACGCGUGAUGCGACAACGCUGCGUGCGUAAUGACGGCCUUUGGGUUGUAAACCGCUUUCGCCUGUGACGAAGCGUGAGUGACGGUAAUGGGUAAAGAAGCACCGGCUAACUACGUG